UACGUAGGGUGCGAGCGUUGUCCGGAAUUAUUGGGCGUAAAGAGCUCGUAGGCGGUUCGUCGCGUCGGCUGUGAAAACCUGAGGCUCAACCUCAGGCCUGCAGUCGAUACGGGCGGACUUGAGUACUGCAGGGGGAGACUGGAAUUCCUGGUGUAGCGGUGAAAUGCGCAGAUAUCAGGAGGAACACCGGUGGCGAAGGCGGCCUGCUGGGCAGUAGCUGACACUGAGGCGCGACAGCGUGGGGGAGCAAACAGG
rnacentral:rRNA from 1 species